rnacentral:rRNA from 1 species
AACGUAGGUGGCGAGCGUUGUCCGGAGUUAUUGGGCGUAAAGCGCGCGCAGGCGGCUUCGCGCGCCCGACGUGAAAGCCCCCGGCUUAACCGGGGAGAGUCGUUGGGGACGGCGGGGCUUGAGGGCGGGAGAGGUCGGUGGAAUUCCCGGUGUAGUGGUGAAAUGCGUAGAGAUCGGGAGGAACACCUGUGGCGAAGGCGGCCGACUGGGCCGACCCUGACGCUGAGGCGCGAAGGCGUGGGGAGCGAACGGG